rnacentral:rRNA from 1 species
AUUGAACGCUGGCGGAAUGCUUUACACAUGCAAGUCGAGCGGCAGCACGGGGGCAACCCUGGUGGCGAGCGGCGAACGGGUGAGUAAUACAUCGGAACAUGCCCAGUCGUGGGGGAUAACACUUCGAAAGAAGUGCUAAUACCGCAUACGUCCUGAGGGGGAAAGCGGGGGAUCGCAAGACCUCGCGCGAUUGGAGUGGCCGAUGUCAGAUUAGCUAGUUGGUGGGGUAAAGGCCUACCAAGGCAACGAUCUGUAGCUGGUCUGAGAGGAUGAUCAGCCACACUGGGACUGAGACACGGCCCAGAGUCCUACGGGAGGCAGCCGUGGGGAAUUUUGGACAAUGGGGGCAACCCUGAUCCAGCCAUUCCGCGUGAGUGAAGAAGGCCUUCGGGUUGGAAAGCUCUUUCGGCAGGAACGAAACGGUGAGCUCUAACAUAGCUUGCUAAUGACGGUACCUGAAGAAGAAGCACCGGCUAACUUCGUG